UCGGCACUCUGGCUUCGGGUGCGGGUCCCGAGCCGGUGUCCCUACAGCUCUUGAAGAGCGGACGCGACCUGAGUCCGAUCCCUUAUCUGAGCUGAGUCGGAGGCUCCGUUUCUCGGGCCCAGGCUGCGGGACUUUGUAAAGAAAAUGGAACACAGCGGGUCCCCAGAGGCGCUGCUGCGGGCCUCCGCUGGCACCUGACCUACCUGCUACCCCCAGCCUCUCGCCCACAGACGGCGUCCCGUGUGGAUUUCACUGCCCGCCUGCAACCUCAUUACUCGUCCCCCAACACUCACCCCUACCCCGCAAAGAUCCUGGUAACCCCAAGCCCAUUCCAAGCAUUUCUGCCCUUCGCCGCUUUGGAAACCGCAGCAAGUAACGUCCGAAAUGGAGGGGGAGGAGCCGGGCGGACGCAAAUGACUCAGCAACGGGGACGGUGGUGCCAGUCAUUGUCCUCCCGGCUGCAGCGCAAGCUCUCGGUGUCAGUCGGUUGCCCCGAGAAUGGCGGGGUGACCACGAGAAGAGCCAGCCGGCUCUCCCCGCCGUCCCCUAGGCUGUCCGAGGCCCGCGAAUGCCGGUGACCCCGGAGGCGACCCUUCGAUCCGCACUUGGCCCAGAACCUGCCGCGGCCCAGCAGGCUCUGGGACCACCGCAGCAGCGCAGUGUCCCUGCACGUUUGAGAUAGCUCUAAAAAGAAGCGGUGCGCAGGGGCAGCACCACCAGUGGCCACUCCACUGCCCCAGGACCGUAUGGGGCUUUUCCGGGUCUUGUGCUUUUGCAGCCAGCAGCUGCGGCAGUGGGAUCUGCUUGGAGACCCUCAGCCUUUGCAGGGCCCUGGCUCAACUCCUGGAGAAGAGGGCAGAGAAGGCUUCCUGGAGGAAGAGGCACCUCCGGGUGAAGGGGACUGUGGAAACAGUGGCCACCAGAGGCCCGUGGCAGAGGGGCCAGCUGCAGGCUGUUCCAAGACACCACACCCCAGCCUGCUGGGCAGUCGGAGCUGCAGCCCUUACUGAUGACCGUCAGGAGCCCCACUGCACCUGGAGGGGCAUGGUGAUGGCUGGGGGAGGGCCAGUGCUGACCCUAACUGCAGCUCCACAGCCUCCCCAAGCUGUCACAAGGCUACCAGCGGCACGAGGCCAGGGCCCUGGUCUUGUCCGUCCGUGUCCAGGCCCAGGGCACCAGCAGCUUCCUGCUGCUGUUGGCACUGGGGUGAUUCAUGGUCCCUCUGCCAUGCUCCUGUGACCCCUUUGGGCACACUGUUGCUCCAGCCGAUGCCUGUGAAUAGAAGUUUCAGCCAUGGCCACUGCUUAGGGCUUGGGGAGAGCCCCUUGUCCUCUGAUACCCUCUUGUCCCUGCUGAUGACUGCCAGGCCUUCCUCCUCUCCCUUCCCUGGAAAGGCCCUGGGGCGUGCUUGGGUGCCCGCAGGUCUGUCAGCUCAGCAGGUGCCACACACAGGAGGAAUUCAGCUCUUGAAGGCUGUUCUCACGUGGCUGCUCACCUGCCUGGUUCUCCCACCAGCCCCAGCCCACU